rnacentral:tRNA from 1 species
GCCUCAGUAGCUUAACGAAAGCGUCGGCUUUGUAAGCCAAAGAAUGGGAGUUCAACCCACCCCUAAGGUA